rnacentral:tRNA from 1 species
CCUGGUGGCUCAGAUGGUAAAGCGUCUGCCUAAAAUGCAGGAGACCUGGGUUCAUUCCCUGGGUCAGGA